UGCAGUCGANGAGUACAUUUUACGAGUGGCGGACGGGUGAGUAACGCGUGGGAACCUACCUUGAGGUAAAGAAUAACUACAGGAAACUGUAGCUAAUACUUUAUGUGCCCUACGGGGGAAAAAUUUAUUGCCUUUUGAGGGGCCCGCGUCAGAUUAGCUUGUUGGUAAGGUAAUGGCUUACCAAGGCUAUGAUCUGUAGCUGGUUUGAGAGGAUGAUCAGCCACAUUGGGACUGAGACACGGCCCAGACUCCUACGGGAGGCAGCAGUGGGGAAUCUUGGACAAUGGGGGAAACCCUGAUCCAGCAAUUCCGCGUGAAUGAUGAAGGCCUUAGGGUUGUAAAGUUCUUUUAGUAAGGAAGAUGAUGACGGUACUUACAGAAAAAGCUCCGGCUAACUCCGUGCCAGCAGCCGCGGUAAUACGGGGGGGGCAAGCGUUGUUCGGAAUUACUGGGCGUAAAGAGCGAGCAGGUGGUUCAUUAAGUCAAUUGUGAAAGCUCAAGGCUUAACCUUGAAAUUGCUUUUGAUACUGAUGAACUAGAGUUUGGGAGAGGAUAGUGGAAUUCUAAGUGUAGAAGUGAAAUUCGUAGAUAUUUA
rnacentral:rRNA from 1 species